rnacentral:misc_RNA from 1 species
GGCUAUUACAUGGAAGCCGGUUGCUGAAUUGAAGCUUUGAAAGGUUUUGAGCAACCCCAUUGCCUUCUUUUAUGAUAUAAAAGAAUUGAACCGCUUCAAACUGAUGAGAGAGAUGCAAAAUAGAUUAAACUGAGGCUUGAAUUUCCCAACAAAAUUCGAUUGACCAUUUUUAAUGGCAGAAAUCAAGUCUUCUGAAUCAGAUUCAAUGAUUAUAGAUGUGCAGGCCAUAGAUUUAGCUAGAUUUAAAGUUCUAAUAAUAGCUUUAGCUUCUCCUUGAAGAGCUGAAUUACAGUGAAUAACCUUGACCACUCCAUCUACUAACCUGCGUUGGAAAUUCCUGACAGCAAGUCAGCAACCCCAAUUGCUGCUCUGGUAGA